GAAUUCGCCCUUAGAGUUUGAUCCUGGCUCAGGACGAACGCUGGCGGCGCGCCUAACACAUGCAAGUCGAACGAGCGAGAGAGAGCUUGCUUUCUUGAGCGAGGGGCGAACGGGUGAGUAACACGUGAGGAACCUGCCUCAAAGAGGGGGACAACAGUUGGAAACGACUGCUAAUACCGCAUAAGCCCACGACCCGGCAUCGGGUAGAGGGAAAAGGAGCAAUCCGCUUUGAGAUGGCCUCGCGUCCGAUUAGCUAGUUGGUGAGGUAACGGCCCACCAAGGCGACGAUCGGUAGCCGGACUGAGAGGUUGAACGGCCACAUUGGGACUGAGACACGGCCCAGACUCCUACGGGAGGCAGCAGUGGGGAAUAUUGCACAAUGGGGGAAACCCUGAUGCAGCGACGCCGCGUGGAGGAAGAAGGUCUUCGGAUUGUAAACUCCUGUUGUUGAGGAAGAUAAUGACGGUACUCAACAAGGAAGUGACGGCUAACUACGUGCCAGCAGCCGCGGUAAAACGUAGGUCACAAGCGUUGUCCGGAAUUACUGGGUGUAAAGGGAGCGCAGGCGGGAAGACAAGUUGGAAGUGAAAUCCAUGGGCUCAACCCAUGAACUGCUUUCAAAACUGUUUUUCUUGAGUAGUGCAGAGGUAGGCGGAAUUCCCGGUGUAGCGGUGGAAUGCGUAGAUAUCGGGAGGAACACCAGUGGCGAAGGCGGCCUACUGGGCACCAACUGACGCUGAGGCUCGAAAGUGUGGGUAGCAAACAGGAUUAGAUACCCUGGUAGUCCACACUGUAAACGAUGAUUACUAGGGUUGGAAGGAUUGACCCCUUCAGUGCCGCAGUUAACACAAUAAGUAAUCCACCUGGGGAGUACGCCCGCAAGGUUGAAACUCAAAGGGAAUUGACGGGGGCCCGCACAAGCAGUGGAGUAUGUGGGUUUAAUUCGACGCAACGCGAAGAACCUUACCAAGUCUUGACAUCCCUUGACAGACAUAGAAAUAUGUAAUCUCUUCGGAGCAAGGAGACAGGUGGUGCAUGGUUGUCGUCAGCUCGUGUCGUGAGAUGUUGGGUUAAGUCCCGCAACGAGCGCAACCCCUAUUGUUAGUUGCUACGCAAGAGCACUCUAGCGAGACUGCCGUUGACAAAACGGAGGAAGGCGGGGACGACGUCAAAUCAUCAUGCCCCUUAUGUCCCGGGCUACACACGUAAUACAAUGGCGUAAACAAAGGGAAGCGAGAUCGUGAGAUGGAGCAAAUCCCAAAAAUAACGUCCCAGUUCGGACUGUAGUCUGCAACCCGACUACACGAAGCUGGAAUCGCUAGUAAUCGCGGAUCAGAAUGCCGCGGUGAAUACGUUCCCGGGUCUUGUACUAACCGCCCGUCA
rnacentral:rRNA from 1 species